AAGAUAAAUGGUUACAGAAACAGUUACAGGAAAAUAAACAGUUCCAGGUGCAUGGGGCUUAAAUUAUCACAAAGAGAUAAACGCAGGGGCUUUGGGUACCAUCAACCGAGCGCGUUCCCAGGAGCUGCUGGUACAGCUUGCCUCAGUAUCUUAUCAGUAAGCACAUUCCUGGAUGUGCUUGGUGUCAAUUUGCACCAGUUAUGUCCUUAAGGGAGGGGGACAAGGUGCUGCAAGCGAAGAAACCAAAAUGGAGUCUGUCCCGCUCUCUCAGCUAAGAGAGAGUCAAUCAGGUUAAAACAAGGUAGGGUAUCAAGCUGUAAUCCCAGCGCUUUGGGAGGCCGAGGAGGGCAGAUCCUUGAGCUCAGGAGACCAGCUUGGGCAACAAGAUGAGAGUCUCACACCCCGCCCUGUCUCUACAAAAAACAAAACAAAACAAAACAAAACAAAAAGCCAGGCAUGGUGGCUCAUGUCUGUGGUCCCAGUUACUGGGAGGCCGACGUGAGAGAAUCACUUGAGCCCUGGAGAUCGAGGCUGCAGUGCCCGUGAUCACACUCCAGCCUGGGCGAAAGAGACCCUGUCUCAAAAAACAAACAAAACAAUGUGAAAUUAAACCAAAAGCCAUCACACGUGCAUCCAAAGGACGGCCGCUACCCGCGACCCCUUCCCAAAGCAGGCGGGAGGUUGCGGGAUCAGGGACAGGGGCUUCAGCAGGGAGCCCCCAGACCCUGGCCACUGUAUCUAGACUAGCACUCCCAUCCCU
rnacentral:lncRNA from 1 species